UGGGCUCAGAUCCUACCUAGAAGCAGACCC
rnacentral:piRNA from 1 species